UAAGACCAGAAGGAACAGGGAUACCUACAUCUAUGCUUUUCCUCCCUGGAAUGCAAAAGCAUACUCAGGCCUGUCAUGCCUUAAAUGAGUCUGUAAUUGCCCAAUUUUCUUGUUGCUGGUGGUGUUCCAGCUCUUAUAACAUCCAAUAUUACUUAAUGAGGUGCGGGCUGUUUAGCUGUUUUUCCCAGUUCCUACAGUACCCAAUGCAACAGAAGAAAGGUAACAGCUUAUUCUCCCCCUCCAGCUUUGUCUAUCUCCAGAGUCAGGCAUUAGGAGAACAACCAACCCGCUCAGAGCCAUACACAUGCUACAGAAUGAGAAUGUCUUUUUAAGGAAGUCCCAGAGGUCCUAUAUGAGGUUUCUUCACAAAAGAUGUGAAACUGAUGUAAAAUAAAUCAAGAAAUCCUUUCUUAGUAUAGCUGAAAUGCUAAGGCUAGAGGAUGGUAAAUCACCAAGUCUCUCAAAAGAAUAUGAAGCUCCUCUUGAGUUAUGGUGAAAGCAGUGGAUAACUGGGCUGCCUCAUCAUCUAUUCCCCCACAUUUCAAAACAUUUUAGCACGAAUAUAUCCUACUUUGCACGUAGUACAGAAAAUCCUGCCAACUCUUAUGGAAGAGGGCCAGCCUAUUCUUAUUCAUGCAAGUAGGUGUGAAACAACAUCCAAGCUGAUUACUUUAUCAAGUUGUGAUUGCCGCCUUUCCAUCAAGAACUCUGCAGGUGUUUUUUCAGUGCUGCCAGUGUGGCAAGCAAGCUGCAAUAUGGGUAGAGCUGGUGGAGGGCUCUAACGGAGUGAAAGCCCCGUGCUGUCCGGGUGUCCUGCAUGUUUGACCUUCCUCUGCGUGCUGCGCUCCAGGCAAAACCCAGCAGCGGGCCAAGCAAGGAAGGAAGGAAAGUCCUCUAAGUUGCCCAUGCAGUGAGACGGCCGCCAGUCCCUGUUCGUGUCUUCCCAUCCCUGAGCCUGGCCAUGAACUGGCAUGCUUUGUGGACGGAACUGGAUACAUGCUGGAAAAAAACCUGGCUUCA